rnacentral:rRNA from 1 species
GACAGAGGAGCCAAGCGUUGUCCGGAUUGACUGGGCGUAAAGCGCACGCAGGCGGAUGCGCGCGUGGGGUGGGAAAUCUGGCCGCUUAACGGCCAGGCGCCAUCCCAUACGGCGCGUCUGGAGUGAUGCAGAGGUCGAUGGAAUUGCCGGUGUAGUGGUGAAAUGCGUAGAGAUCGGCAGGAACACCCAGGGGGAAACCAGUCGACUGGGCAUCUACUGACGCUGAGGUGCGAGAGCGUGGGGAGCGAACCGG